rfam:Camelus ferus unplaced genomic scaffold scaffold305, whole genome shotgun sequence.
GAGGGUAGAGCUUAGUGGUAGAGCAUGCGCUUACCAUGCACGAGGCCCUGGGUUCAAGCCCCAGCACCUCCA